GUGCCUCGGGGGGCAGCAGUAGGGAAUUUUCGUCAAUGGGCGCAAGCCUGAACGAGCAAUGCCGCGUGAACGAGGAAGGUCUUCGGAUCGUAAAGUUCUGUUGAAGGGGAAAAAGAGCGGAGAGAGGAAAUGAACUCCGAUUGAUAUUACCCUUCGAGGAAGUCACGGCUAACUACGUGCCAGCAGCCGCGGUAAUACGUAGGUGGCGAGCGUUAUCCGGAAUGAUUGGGCGUAAAGGGUGCGUAGGCGGCCUGCUAAGUUUGGAGUGAAAGGGACCGGCUCAACCGGUACAGGCUCUGUAAACU
rnacentral:rRNA from 1 species